AGAAUGAUUGCUGGGUCAUAUGGUAAGAGAAGGUUUUAUUUUGUAAGAAAUUGACAAACUGUCUUUCAUAGUGGCUGUACCAUUUUGCAUUCCCACCAGCAGU
rnacentral:pre_miRNA from 1 species